GACGAACGCUGGCGGCGUGCCUAAUACAUGCAAGUAGAACGCUGAAGGAGGAGCUUGCUUCUCUGGAUGAGUUGCGAACGGGUGAGUAACGCGUAGGUAACCUGCCUGGUAGCGGGGGAUAACUAUUGGAAACGAUAGCUAAUACCGCAUAAGAGUAGAUGUUGCAUGACAUUUGCUUAAAAGGUGCAAUUGCAUCACUACCAGAUGGACCUGCGUUGUAUUAGCUAGUUGGUGGGGUAACGGCUCACCAAGGCGACGAUACAUAGCCGACCUGGGAGGGUGGUCGGCCACACUGGGACUGAGAAACGGCCCAGAAUCCUACGGGAGGCAGCAGUAGGGGAUCUUCGGCAAUGGACGGAAGUCUGACCGAGCAACGCCGCGUGAGGGAAGAAGGGUUUCGGAUCGUAAAGCUCUGUUGUAAUGGAAGAAAGAGUGUGAGAGUGGAAAGUUCACACUGUGACGGUACCUUCCCAGAAAGGGACGGCUAACUACGUG
rnacentral:rRNA from 1 species